UUGUGUUUUUGUAUUUUUUUCCUUUUCUUUUAAUAGUUUUUCCGUGUUUCAAUUGUUUUUUCUUAAUAGGGAUAUUGUCGGUAUUUUCCUAUUUGUUGCUGCAUUGUUGAAUUAGUUAUAUGUUUUCUCAUUGUUUGUUGAUUUUUUUCCUUUUCUAUUGAGUUUAACAUGACUGACCAAAAAAAUCUGAGAGAACUUUUUGCCCCUGAUGUUGAUUAUAAUGCUUU
rnacentral:lncRNA from 1 species